GUAGCUGCAGUCUGCUGAACGCCGCUCUAAGCUUCGGUGGAAGUGAGGCGGACGAGUUGUUGAUAAUGUUCAGUUUGGUUGGACUGUACCUUCUGGGCCUAGUUGCACUGGUCAUGUUAACUGCACAACAGUCAUUACACCAUAACCAGAAGCCAGAGAAGCUGCUGCAUGCCGCCAAAAGAUGGACAGACUCCAAAUGAUGACAAUAAUGCCGUAAGGAAUGUCAUCUGUGACACAAAAUAAACGUUAGAGCAUAAAUGAAAUGAUGGACGCUUUCGUAUCGUCACACGAUAUAUAUCGUCAUAUAGCACAGCCAUAUUUCUGAAGUGACCCUCAGCUCCUUCAGUCUCCUUGUUGGCUUCUGUAAAUGCAGAAUAAAUACAAUAUGAUAAAUCACUAAGCUUUCCAAAAGUAUAGAUUUUCCUUGCUGUGCACAAGAUUUUUUUUUCAACUCACAGUAAAAGAAGUCAUGCAUAUUUUAAGGAAUACAAGACCUUUGUGGUGCCACUGCUUUCUUGUCACCGUCAUUACAAGAGGAGUGUAUUAUCUGUCUCUUGUUGUGUUGAUUACGGUAAACAUGAGAGUGCUGGAGGAGAUGGAGGCAUCGAAGCGAGGGUACAGAAGCAGCCUACAUCUUUAUCUAGAGGAGGACAUUAAUCCCACUGCUCUCUUCUAGACGGCAGAGAUUGUGAAUGAGAUAACUGCUGCUGGUCAGUGAUGGGUAGGGGCACUGGUUUUACUGCUCAUGGCUUCAGGGGCACCUGGUGCUCCAAAGAAUUCACAGCAGGAAACUAUGAAAUGGACGUCAUGACAGCUCCCUAAAAACAUCUGGAUCGCCCCCUGGUGGCCCGCUGCAGUUUAAGUCAUAAAUCCCAUCCUCUCCAUGUUAGUGGAUGGGACAUGAGCCAAACUAAAAAAAUCAAAGUAC